UGGGGAAUUUUGGACAAUGGGCGAAAGCCUGAUCCAGCAAUGCCGCGUGAGGGAUGACGGCCUUCGGGUUGUAAACCUCUUUCAGCAGGGAAGAAGCGAAAGUGACGGUACCUGCAGAAGAAGCGCCGGCUAACUACGUGCCAGCAGCCGCGGUAAUACGUAGGGCGCAAGCGUUGUCCGGAAUUAUUGGGCGUAAAGAGCUCGUAGGCGGUUAGUCGCGUCUGCUGUGAAAACUCGAGGCUCAACCUCGGGCUUGCAGUGGGUACGGGCUGACUAGAGUGCGGUAGGGGUGACUGGAAUUCCUGGUGUAGCGGUGGAAUGCGCAGAUAUCAGGAGGAACACCGAUGGCGAAGGCAGGUCACUGGGCCGCAACUGACGCUGAGGAGCGAAAGCAUGGGGAGCGAACAGGAUUAGAUACCCUGGUAGUCCAUGCCGUAAACGUUGGGCACUAGGUGUGGGUCCAUUCCACGGAUUCCGUGCCGCAGCAAACGCAUUAAGUGCCCCGCCUGGGGAGUACGGCCGCAAGGCUAAAACUUAAA
rnacentral:rRNA from 1 species